AUACUUACCUGGCAGGGGAAAUACUGUGAUCACAAGGGUGGGUUUCCCAGGGUGGGGCUUGUCCAUUGCGCUCCAGGUGUGCUGGCCUCCGUGUUUUCCCCAAAUGUGGGAAACUUGGCUGCGUAAUUUGUGGUAGUGGGGGACUUCAUUUGCACUCUCCCU